AGUGAACGCUGGCGGUAGGCCUAACACAUGCAAGUCGAACGGCAGCACAGUAAGAGCUUGCUCUUACGGGUGGCGAGUGGCGGACGGGUGAGGAAUACAUCGGAAUCUACUUUUUCGUGGGGGAUAACGUAGGGAAACUACGCUAAUACCGCAUACGACCUACGGGUGAAAGCAGGGGAUCUUCGGACCUUGCGCGAUUGAAUGAGCCGAUGUCGGAUUAGCUAGUUGGCGGGGUAAAGGCCCACCAAGGCGACGAUCCGUAGCUGGUCUGAGAGGAUGAUCAGCCACACUGGAACUGAGACACGGUCCAGACUCCUACGGGAGGCAGCAGUGGGGAAUAUUGGACAAUGGGCGCAAGCCUGAUCCAGUCAUACCGCGUGGGUGAAGAAGGCCUUCGGGUUGUAAAGCCCUUUUGUUGGGAAAGAAAAGCAGCAGGUUAAUACCCCGCUGUUCUGACGGUACCCAAAGAAUAAGCACCGGCUAACUUCGUG
rnacentral:rRNA from 1 species